rnacentral:rRNA from 1 species
AGUGAACGCUGGCGGUAGGCCUAACACAUGCAAGUCGAACGGCAGCACAGGAGAGCUUGCUCUCUGGGUGGCGAGUGGCGGACGGGUGAGGAAUACAUCGGAAUCUACUCUGUCGUGGGGGAUAACGUAGGGAAACUUACGCUAAUACCGCAUACGACCUACGGGUGAAAGCAGGGGAUCUUCGGACCUUGCGCGAUUGAAUGAGCCGAUGUCGGAUUAGCUAGUUGGCGGGGUAAAGGCCCACCAAGGCGACGAUCCGUAGCUGGUCUGAGAGGAUGAUCAGCCACACUGGAACUGAGACACGGUCCAGACUCAUACGGGAGGCAGCAGUGGGGAAUAUUGGACAAUGGGCGCAAGCCUGAUCCAGCCAUACCGCGUGGGUGAAGAAGGCCUUCGGGUUGUAAAGCCCUUUUGUUGGGAAAGAAAUCCAGCUGGUUAAUACCCGGUUGGGAUGACGGUACCCAAAGAAUAAGCACCGGCUAACUUCGUGCCAGCCGCCGCCGUAA